GAAGACUUUGCCACCACUCGACUUUGGAAGGGAGAGUUACGUCAGAAGUGAACAUUGAUGUUUUAUUUAUUUACAUAUAUUUUCGCGCACACACUUGGUUGUGAUUGGACUGUGAAGAAACUUUAUGGUUGCUAACCUCUUUUCUUUUAGUGAACAUUAUAUGUGCACCCAUGACAUAGACGCCCUUAAUGUAAUAUCUGAAAUAAAAUAAAAUAAAAUAAAAAAUAAAAAAUAAUAAUAAUAAUUCUUUCCUCCCCCCACCUUUCUCUCUCCCCGCUGCUCACUCUCUCCCCCCCGGCUUCUGCCAUCUCCGGCUACAGCGCAGCCAACGCUGCCGCCCAGCUUCUCCUCCCCCUCCUCGCCGCCACGCCACCUUCCGCUUCCUCCCUCCCUUGCUGCCGACGUCCGCGUGGAGAAAGGAGCUACCAUCAUCGAAUCGAUCGUCUGCUAAUGUCCAAUCGCUCGUUUGACGCUGGAAUCGAGCUCCUUGCCACCGGAAACCCCUGGGCCGAGCUUCAUAGCCGUGAUUUCCUCACUGGCAGUUGUGUUCAUCCUUGCCGGAGCCGAGACUUUUCGGCCUCGAUCCGGUAUCUUCCAGCGAGUUUUCGACCAAAACUCUUGUGUUUUCAGACUCUUCGCAACUCAAGCUUCGGGUAGGCGCUUCCGGAUUCGAGUUCCGACACCGUUGGCAGUACUGGUUCCGGAUCCUAGUGUUUUCCGCACGCGCAGAAUUUUAGAUUUUCGGCGAGUCGGCAAAAUAAUGUAGUUUUAGUGGCCCAACUCCGUUAACUAAUUGCAGAAUAAUUGAAGUGUUUCUAGCAGAUUCUGGACCCGUUAUACAGGUGAUAAUUUGUCUAUCCAGCCAGCUCCAUCUGAGGUGUAGGAGCAAACUGCAGAGCGCGGUAGAAUUGCGACAGUUAGGAUUCUCCGCCGUAUUAUGCUUGACAGCUCGACUUCCUUUUUCAUCGGGCCUAUUGUAAAUAAUUUAUAUUUUCAUAUUUUUAAUUAUUUUAAAUUCUAGAUUCUCCGCAGUAGUAUACUUGAUAUGUUAUGUUUGAUCUGGUCUGUAACAAAUUAUGAAGUAUUAUUAUUUUACAGAUAGAGACUUAUGUAUGACAUGUCAGAUGAGUAUAAUAUUAUAUUUUUAUGUACA